rnacentral:tRNA from 1 species
GCCCAGGUGGCGAAAUUGGUAGACGCAACGGACUUAAAAUCCGUUGGACGCAAGUCCGUGCCGGUUCGAGUCCGGCUCUGGGUACCA